rnacentral:lncRNA from 1 species
CGCCUCUCAUAAGCCGGCUUCUCGUAGCCCUCCUCUUCUUGCCCCUCAUUACUUGGCCUCCCAUAACUAGGCCUCCUCGGUGGCUCCUCCACCUCCGGACUCUCGUAGCUCGGCCUCCCAUACUGUGGCUUCCUGGGGGACCCUUCCCCACCAUAACCAUACCCGCCACCUUGUUCCUCUCCGAAGCUAGGUUUCCGACCGUACCCAGAUCCAUAUUCAGAACUCGGUGCUUCGUACUCAGGCCUCCGACCAUACCCAGAUCCAUACUCCGAACUGGGCUGCUCGAACUCGGGCCUCCGACCAUACCCAGAUCCAUACUCCGAACUAGGUUGCUCGUAUUCAGGCUUCCGACCGUACCCAGAUCCAUAUUCCGUGCUAGGCUGUUCGUAUUCAGGCUUCCGACCGUACCCAGAUCCAUAUUCCGAGCUAGGCUGUUCGUAUUCAGGCUUCCGACCGUACCCAGAUCCAUAUUCCGAGCUAGGCUGUUCGUAUUCAGGCUUCCGACCGUAGCCAGAUCCAUAUUCCGAGCUAGGCUGUUCGCAUUCAGGCUUCCGACCGUACCCGGAUCCGUACUCCGAACUGGGUUCCUCGUAAUCAGGCUUCCGCCCAUGCCCAGAUCCAUACUCACCCUCCCCACCAAAACUCGACGGCGGCUUCGGCUGAUACCCAUACUCACCACCAUCACCACUGCCUCCGAACCCUCCUUGGCCAGGAGGUGGUCCGGCGUAACCAAGGACCGGACGAG